rnacentral:misc_RNA from 1 species
UACGAGGGCCCCGAGCGUUAUCCGGAAUAACUGGGCGUAAAGCGUCUGUAGGUGGUUUCAUAAGUAAUCGGUCAAAUCCUGGUGCUCAACAUGAGGACUGCCGGUUAAACUGUGGAACUUGAGGUCGGAAGAGGCAACUGGAAUUGCCGGUGUAACGGUAAAAUGUGUUAAUAUCGGCAAGAACACCAAAUGCGAAGGCAUGUUGCUGGGACGCACCUGACACUGAGAGACGAAAGCGUGGGGAGCGAAUGGG